rnacentral:rRNA from 1 species
GACGAACGCUGGCGGCGUGCUUAACACAUGCAAGUCGAACGGAAAGGCCCUGCUUUUGCGGGGUGCUCGAGUGGCGAACGGGUGUGUAUCACGCGAGUAACCUGCCCUUGACUUUGGGAUAACUUCAGGAAACUGGGGCUAAUACCGGAUAGGAGCUCCUGCUGCAUGGUGGGGGUUGGAAAGUUUCGGCGGUUGGGGAUGGACUCGCGGCUUAUCAGCUUGUUGGUGGGGUAGUGGCUUACCAAGGCUUCGACGGGUAGCCGGCCUGAGAGGGUGACCGGCCACAUUGGGACUGAGGUACGGCCCAGACGCCAACGGGAGGCAGCGGGGGAGAAUAUUGCACAAUGGGCGGAAGCCGGAUGCAGCGGCGCCGCGUGCGGGAUGACGGCCUUCGGGUUGUAAACCGCUUUCGCCUGUGACGAAGCGUGAGUGACGGUAAUGGGUAAAGAAGCACCGGCUAACUACGUG